rnacentral:rRNA from 1 species
GACGAACGCUGGCGGCGUGCUUAACACAUGCAAGUCGAACGGUGAAGCGCCUUCCUUUUUGGUGGGUGUGGAUGAGUGGCGAACGGGUGAGUAACACGUGAGUAACCUGCCCCCUUCUUCUGGAUAACCGCAUGAAAGUGUGGCUAAUACGGGAUAUUCUGGGUCUGUCGCAUGAUGGGUCUGGGAAAGAUAUUGUUUCGGUGGGGGAUGGGCUCGCGGCCUAUCAGCUUGUGGGUGGGGUGAUGGCCUACCAAGGCGUGGCCGGGUGGCGGGCCGGGGGGGUGGGCGGUCCCACGAGGGCGGCGGCGCGGCCCCGACUCCUACGGGAGGCAGCGGGGGGGAAUAGUGCACGGUGGGCGCCAGCCUGAUGCAGCGACGCCGCGGGAGGGAUGGAGGCCUUCGGGUUGUGAACCUCUUUCGGCAGUGAAGCAGGCCUGCCUCGUGUGUGGGUGGGUUGACGGUAGCUGGAGAAGAAGCGCCGGCUAACUACGUG